rnacentral:ncRNA from 2 species
AAGGGUUAAGGUGAUGGCGUUCCACCUUCCCCAACCGCCCACAAUGAUGGGCUGAUGACGCCUGGUAUAUC